rnacentral:rRNA from 1 species
AUUGAACGCUGGCGGCAUGCCUUACACAUGCAAGUCGAACGGUAACAGGUUAAGCUGACGAGUGGCGAACGGGUGAGUAAUAUAUCGGAACGUGCCCAGUUGUGGGGAUAACUACUCGAAAGAGUGGCUAAUACCGCAUGAGACCUGAGGGUGAAAGCGGGGGAUCGCAAGACCUCGCGCAAUUGGAGCGGCCGAUAUCAGAUUAGCUAGUUGGCGGGGUAAAAGCCCACCAAGGCGACGAUCUGUAGCUGGUCUGAGAGGACGACCAGCCACACUGGGACUGAGACACGGCCCAGACUCCUACGGGAGGCAGCAGUGGGGAAUUUUUGGACAAUGGACGCAAGUCUGAUCCAGCCAUGCCGCGUGCGGGAAGAAGGCCUGGUGUAACGACUUUGUCUAGGGAAGGAAACGGGUUUACG